ACAAUAAUGGAAUGGUGGACGCGGGACAUGGAUAAAGGAUGAAAACUAAUGAAAUUAAAUAAAAGCAAGGGCCUGGAUGAAGGGAGGAGUCGAGGGAAAGGGCAAUGGGGAGCUGGGAGGGUGAAUAAAAAUAUAAUUACAAGUGGGGCCGAUAAUAAGGUCGAAUUAGAUCGUUAUAAAAACGUUUUGAUGUUAUUGUACUUUAACGUUGCAAUACCACCAAACAUCCAGGAGAUGGAGCAUGGAAAGCCGUGGCGCUGGCGUUAAUCUGGGUCACCAACAGGGGGUGCAAAGUGACGCCGAACAAUAAAGGGGCGUGUGAUUGGCUGGAGGAUAAAAGGCUAUACGGAUCCAACAUGGGGGGUCUCUCUCCUCCUUGCGGGUUUUGGCUUCUGCUGUGUUUAGUAGAAUGCUCCUAUUCUGAUCCACACCCCAUCUUGAGUUCUUCCAUUACACUGACUUACACCACACUUAUAUAAGGUUAAUGAUCUGGCAGCCGUUGGCAGCCGUUGUUGUCUAGUUGUUUAAUAAAUGUCCUUAUUGUGAUUGA